rnacentral:rRNA from 1 species
AUUGAACGCUGGCGGCAGGCCUAACACAUGCAAGUCGGGCGGUAGAGGACUUCGGUCCUUGAGAGCGGCGGACGGGUGAGUAACGCGUGGGAAUCUAGCUUUUUAGUGGGGGACGAACUUAGUGGAAACGACAAGCUAAUACCGCAUACGUCCUACGGGAGGAAAGACAGGGGAGUCUUCGGACCUUGCGCUAAAAGAAUGAGCCCGCCGUCGGAUUAGCUUGUUGGUGAGGUAAUGGCUCACCAAGGCGACGAUCCGUAACCUGGUCUGAGAGGAUGAUCAGUCACACUGGAACUGAGACACGGUCCAGACUCCUACGGGAGGGCAGCAGUGGGGAAGU